rnacentral:misc_RNA from 1 species
ACAGUAAAAAAAAAAUGAAAGUCAAAGCAGAACAUGCGCUUCAUCAUUUAAUUCUUUAUUAUAUUCUUUUAUAGGAUAUAUCUUCAUGUACACCAAAAAUUGUGUAGAAUAAAUUUGUUGACUCAAAUCUAAUGCAUGUAUAACUGUGCAGUGGAAUAUGCACAUUGAUUAACACAUUGUAGUUAUACUUUAAACUUUGAAACAUUUGCAUAAUGAUGAGAUAUGCUGUAUUACAGAGGGUUGCAUCACAUGAAAAUGGUUUUUUCUAUGUUCAGUACUAGUGAUGUACUAAUGAUCUGAUGGAUUUUCAAUGUGAAAUACUAGUACAGUGUAUAUAUUUAUACUUAUAAAAUACUUCAUUGUUAAACUUCUUAAUCUAUGAAUGUGAGCAAUGCUAAAUAAAAUUUGAUGCUUC